UACGAAGGGUGCAAGCGUUACUCGGAAUUACUGAGCGUAAAGCGUGCGUAGGUGGUUUGUUAAGUCUGAUGUGAAAGCCCUGGGCUCAACCUGGGAAUUGCAUUGGAUACUGGCAGGCUAGAGUGCGGUAGAGGAUGGCGGAAUUCCCGGUGUAGCAGUGAAAUGCGUAGAGAUCGGGAGGAACAUCUGUGGCGAAGGCGGCCAUCUGGACCAGCACUGACACUGAGGCACGAAAGCCAGGGGAGCAAACGGG
rnacentral:rRNA from 1 species